AUUGAACGCUGGCGGCAGGCCUAACACAUGCAAGUCGAACGGUAACAGGAAGAAGCUUGCUUCUUUGCUGACGAGUGGCGGACGGGUGAGUAAUGUCUGGGAAACUGCCUGAUGGAGGGGGAUAACUACUGGAAACGGUAGCUAAUACCGCAUAACGUCGCAAGACCAAAGAGGGGGACCUUCGGGCCUCUUGCCAUCGGAUGGGCCCAGAUGGGAUUAGCUAGUAGGUGGGGUAACGGCUCACCUAGGCGACGAUCCCUAGCUGGUCUGAGAGGAUGACCAGCCACACUGGAACUGAGACACGGUCCAGACUCCUACGGGAGGCAGCAGUGGGGAAUAUUGCACAAUGGGCGCAAGCCUGAUGCAGCCAUGCCGCGUGUAUGAAGAAGGCCUUCGGGUUGUAAAGUACUUUCAGCGGGGAGGAAGGGAGUAAAGUUAAUACCUUUGCUCAUUGACGUUACCCGCAGAAGAAGCACCGGCUAACUCCGUG
rnacentral:rRNA from 1 species